rnacentral:tRNA from 1 species
UCAGGCUCUUGGCCACGUUCAGCGAGCCGUGGCCAUAGCCGUUGGCCUUGACGACAGCAAUAACUUUGCUGGCGGGUGCGAUCUCACGCAGCCUGGCC